CGGAGCUCGGAGCAGCAGAUGUUUCCAAUGAAGGCCCAGCUAGAGCCGCAGAGGUCCCAUCAGCAAGUCCCCAUCUUCUGCUGACCAGAGCCCAUAUCUCCAGUUCAGCCACAGAGACAGGUGUCUCGGGGAAUCCAGCCUCAUCUGACCUAAGGAAAUACCAUGGGUCUGACUCAAGGCCUUCAGAACAGCAGAGCCCAACCAGGAUGCUGGGAGCCUGAGGAUGACUUAUUGGUCUGCUGUGGGCUGAACAUCAAGUACACGCCCUGCCUCUGUCCAAAGAAUGUAGUACAAGAGCACCAAGUGGGGAAGUUCAUGCCUCAGAGUACCUUGCUGAAGCCCUGAUCACCCCUGCCCCCAGCAGACUGCUCUAUUCUUCGAACCUUGGGAAAUGCCCCUGUCCAUGAAAGCAGUGGAUGGGAAGAAUCCUGGGUGGAAGGUGGGGGCCCAGGGAACAGCAUAUGCCACGCCCCUGCCUGGUCGCUAUAGCCUGCGUCCUAUGGGAUAUGCCAAUGUCUUUUUGCUUCUCCUUCUGUGGCAAGCCAAAUUAGGGACCUACCAAGUUGCGUUAGACGACAACCCUCCUUCAUACAGGGCAGAAGGGGGCUCUGUCGGGUGCGGUAGGACAAUGCUGUAGCCAUAAACAUGGCUUUGCAGUCCAAGAGCCUUGAACUUUUGUUCCGACCCUGCCAUCUACCAGGUCAGCAAGUGGCUUGACCUCACAAAGCCUGUUCCCUCUUUCAUAAAAUGGGAGUGAUAACAAUGACAACUUGGCGGACUGUGGUGAAGGUUGAAUGUCCUGGUGCCAUGAACACCUGGCACAUAGUAAGUGCUCCUUAGAUGGUCCUGCCAUUGUUAGUGCCACUGUUAUUAUUAUCAUUACUAUAAUUAUCACUACUCUUCUCCCGAGGCCAGUCUUCUUUAACAUAAAGACCCUUGUCUUAUUUAUUUCUGUGUCCUCAGUAAUGCACAGUAAAUGGG
ensembl:lncRNA